AAAUUGAAGAGUUUGAUCAUGGCUCAGAUUGAACGCUGGCGGCAGGCCUAACACAUGCAAGUCGAGCGGUAGCACAGAGAGCUUGCUCUCGGGUGACGAGCGGCGGACGGGUGAGUAAUGUCUGGGAAACUGCCUGAUGGAGGGGGAUAACUACUGGAAACGGUAGCUAAUACCGCAUAACGUCGCAAGACCAAAGUGGGGGACCUUCGGGCCUCAUGCCAUCAGAUGUGCCCAGAUGGGAUUAGCUUGUAGGUGGGGUAACGGCUCACCUAGGCGACGAUCCCUAGCUGGUCUGAGAGGAUGACCAGCCACACUGGAACUGAGACACGGUCCAGACUCCUACGGGAGGCAGCAGUGGGGAAUAUUGCACAAUGGGCGCAAGCCUGAUGCAGCCAUGCCGCGUGUGUGAAGAAGGCCUUCGGGUUGUAAAGCACUUUCAGCGGGGAGGAAGGCG
rnacentral:rRNA from 1 species